AUCCUUUGGUUCAUGAGCAUGAUGAUUGGAUGUUCAUGACGUAUACAUGAGAUGUGCCUCCCUCAAACCUUUUACAACAUUGUCAUGUUAUCUAUCUGACA